rnacentral:rRNA from 1 species
AGUGAACGCUGGCGGCUGGCCUAACACAUGCAAGUCGAACGAGUGGCGGACGGGUGAGGAAUAUAUCGGAAUCUACUCUGUCGCUGGGGAUAACGUCGGGACACUUACGCUAAUACUGCAUACGAUCGAAUGAGCCGCUGUGGGAUUAGCUAGGUGGCGGUGUACAGGACCACCAAGGCGACGAUCCCUAGCUGGUCUGAGAGGAUGAUCAGCCACACUGGAACUGAGACACGGUCCAGACUCCUACGGGAGGCAGCAGUGGGGAAUAUUGGACAAGGGGCGCAAGCCUGAUCCAGCCAUGCCGCGUGUGUGAAGAAGGCCUUCGGGUUGUAAAGCCCUUUAGUGGAGAAAGCGGUACCCAAAGAAUAAGCACCGGCUAACUUCGUGCCAGCAGCCGCGGUAAUAC